CCUACGGGAGGCAGCAGUGGGGAAUAUUGCACAAUGGGGGCAACCCUGAUGCAGCGACGCCGCGUGAGUGAAGAAGUAUUUCGGUAUGUAAAGCUCUAUCAGCAGGGGAGAAAAUGACGGUACCUGAUCCAGUAGCUCCGGCCAACUACGUGCCAGCAGCCGCGGUAAUACGUAGGGGGCAAGCGUUAUCCGGAUUUACUGGGUGGAAAGGGAGCGUAGACGGGAGGACAAGUCUGGAGUGAAAUGCCGGGGCUUAACCCCGGAACUGCUUUGGAGACUGUGCGGCUUGAGUGCAGGAGAGGUAAGUGGAAUUCCUAGUGUAGCGGUGAAAUGCGUAGAUAUUAGGAGGAACACCAGUGGCGAAGGCAGCUUACUGGACUGUAACUGACGUUGAGGCUCGAAAGCGUGGGGAGCAAACAGGAUUAGAUACCCGAGUAGUC
rnacentral:rRNA from 1 species